rnacentral:rRNA from 1 species
GAUGAACGCUGGCGGCGUGCUUAACACAUGCAAGUCGAACGGAGAAUUGAAGCUUGCUUUAAUUCUUAGUGGCGGACGGGUGAGUAACGCGUGGGUAACCUGCCCUUAAGUGGGGGACAACAGUUGGAAACGACUGCUAAUACCGCAUAAAGUUGAGAGUCUGCAUGGACUUUUAACCAAAGGAGUAAUCCGCUUUUGGAUGGACCCGCGUCUGAUUAGCUAGUUGGUGAGGUAACGGCUCACCAAGGCGACGAUCAGUAGCCGGCCCGAGAGGGUGAUCGGCCACACUGGGACUGAGACACGGCCCAGACUCCUACGGGAGGCAGCAGUGGGGAAUAUUGGACAAUGGGGGGAACCCUGAUCCAGCCAUGCCGCGUGUGUGAAGAAGGCCUUAUGGUUGUAAAGCACUUUAAGCGAGGAGGAGGCUCUUUUGGUUAAUACCCAAGAUGAGUGGACGUUACUCGCAGAAUAAGCACCGGCUAACUCUGUGCCAGCAGCCGCCGCAGUAA